ACGGGUGAGUAACGCGUGGGAACGUACCUUUCGGUUCGGAACAACCCAGGGAAACUUGGGCUAAUACCGGAUACGCCCUUCGGGGGAAAGAUUUAUCGCCGAAAGAUCGGCCCGCGUCUGAUUAGCUUGUUGGUGAGGUAACGGCUCACCAAGGC
rnacentral:rRNA from 1 species